CCUUGUACACACCGCCCGUCACAUCACGAAAGCCAGUUGUACUAGAAGCCGGUAAUUUAACCGCAAGGGAUAGCCGUCCAAGGUAUGACUGGUGAUUGGGGUG
rnacentral:rRNA from 1 species